rnacentral:ncRNA from 1 species
AAUAAAAAAGGUACAUCUGUCGAAAGUUUGGGGCGCGAAGCCGCGGAUUUAAUACGACAGCUGCGAUGAGCGGGCUACCGUGG